rnacentral:rRNA from 1 species
CAGUCAAUGGAAAGGAUGACAAAUCUCAGUAAUGUGGACCGGGCCGCCCAACGUCCCGGUGUGAAGCUCCUUCGGACGAGUCGAGAUUGUUUGGGAAUGCCGACUCAAAAUGGGAUGGUAAAAUUUCAUCUUAAAGCUUAAGUAUGACCAGAGCCGGGAUAGCGCUCAAAGUAGGAGUGAUCGAGAGAGGAAAAGCACUUUGGAAAGAGAGUCAAACAGUACGUGAAUUUGUUGAAAAGGGAGGCGCUGGAAACCAGACUGGCCCACGGGGUGAUCAGCCGGUAUUUUUACCGGUGCACUCGCCUGUGGUCAGGCCAGCAUCGGUUGGGGCGGCUGGAUAAAGUCCACUGGAAUUUAGCUCCUCUCGGGGGAGUGUUAUAGCCAGAGGUGCCAUGCAGCCCGCCCGGACCGAGGACCGCGCUUCGCCUAGGAUGCGGGCGUAAUGGUUGUAAGCGACCCGUCUUGAAACACGGACCAAGGAGUCUAACAUCUAUGCGAGUGUUGGGGUGUCAAACCCAUGCGCGUAAUGAAAGUGAACGGAGGUGGGAACCCUUAAGGGUGCACCAUCGACCGAUCCUGAUGUCUUCGGAUGGAUUUGAGUAAGAGCAUAGCUGUUGGGACCCGAAAGAUGGUGAACUAUGCCUGAAUAGGGUGAAGCCAGAGGAAACUCUGGUGGAGGCUCGCAGCGGUUCUGACGUGCAAAUCGA